rfam:Glomerella graminicola M1.001 genomic scaffold supercont1.31, whole genome shotgun sequence.
UUAGCUCUCUUUGCCUUUUGGCUUAGAUCAAGUGUAGUAUCUGUUCUUUUCAGUUUAAUCUCUGAAAGAUGCCUACUGGCAUCAAUCUUGAUUAUUCCUAUUUUUGAUACCAGGAGAUGACCUCUGUGGCUUGCCAUAUGUUAUCUCCAACGUGUCCCUGGUAUAACACUGUUUCCAGGAGACGCAAACCCGCG